rnacentral:rRNA from 1 species
AACGGCGAGUGAAGCGGCAAAAGCUCAAAUUUGAAAUCUGGCUCCCUAGCAGGGGUCCGAGUUGUAAUUUGAAGAGGAUGCUUCGGGUGCGGCCGCGGCGCAAGUUCCUUGGAACAGGACGUCAUAGAGGGUGAGAAUCCCGUCUUGAGUCGCCGGCACGCGCCCAUGUGAAGCUCCUUCGACGAGUCGAGUUGUUUGGGAAUGCAGCUCUAAGCGGGUGGUAAAUUUCAUCUAAAGCUAAAUAUUGGCCGGAGACCGAUAGCGCACAAGUAGAGUGAUCGAAAGGUUAAAAGCACCUUGAAAAGGGAGUUAAAUAGCACGUGAAAUUGUUGAAAGGGAAGCGCUUGCGGCCAGACUCGGGCGCGGGGGUUCAGCGGGCAUUCGUGCCCGUGUACUCCCCCGCGAUCCGGGCCAGCAUCGGUUUGGGCGGUCGGUCAAAGGCCCUCGGAAUGUGUCGCCUCUCGGGGCGUCUUAUAGCCGGGGGUGCAAUGCGGCCUGCCUGGACCGAGGAACGCGCUUCGGCACGGAUGCUGGCGUAAUGGCCGUAAGCGGCCCGUCUUGAAACACGGACCAAGGAGUCUAACAUCCACGCGAGUGUUCGGGUGUCAAACCCGUGCGCGCAGUGAAAGCGAACGGAGGUGAGAGCCCGCAAGGGUGCAUCAUCGACCGAUCCUGAAGUCUUCGGAUGGAUUUGAGUAGGAGCGUGGCUGUUGGGACCCGAAAGAUGGUGAACUAUGCCUGAAUAGGGUGAAGCCAGAGGAAACUCUGGUGGAGGCUCGCAGCGGUUCUGACGUGCAAAUCGAUCGUCAAAUUU